UGCCAUGUCGUGGGGGAUAACGUAGCGAAAGCUACGCUAAUACCGCAUACGCCCUGAGGGGGAAAGCGGGGGAUUCUUCGGAACCUCGCGCGAUUGGAGCGGCCGAUGUCGGAUUAGCUAGUAGGUGAGGUAAAGGCUCACCUAGGCGACGAUCCGUAGCGGGUCUGAGAGGAUGAUCCGCCACACUGGGACUGAGACACGGCCCAUACUCCUACGGGAGGCAGCAGUGGGGAAUUUUGGACAAUGGGCGCAAGCCUGAUCCAGCCAUGCCGCGUGAGUGAAGAAGGCCUUCGGGUUGUAAAGCUCUUUCGGCCGGGAAGAAAUCGUGGUCUCUAACAUAGGCCAUGGAUGACGGUACCGGACUAAGAAGCACCGGCUAACUACGUGCCAGCAGCCGCGGUAAUACGUAGGGUGCGAGCGUUAAUCGGAAUUACUGGGCGUAAAGCGUGCGCAGGCGGUUUUGUAAGACAGAUGUGAAAUCCCCGGGCUUAACCUGGGAACUGCGUUUGUGACUGCAAGGCUAGAGUACGGCAGAGGGGGGUGGAAUUCCUGGUGUAGCAGUGAAAUGCGUAGAGAUCAGGAGGAACACCGAUGGCGAAGGCAGCCCCCUGGGCCUGUACUGACGCUCAUGCACGAAAGCGUGGGGAGCAAACAGGAUUAGAUACCCUGGUAGUCCACGCCCUAAACGAUGUCGACUAGUCGUUCGGAGCAGCAAUGCACUGAGUGACGCAGCUAACGCGUGAAGUCGACCGCCUGGGGAGUACGGCCGCAAGGUUAAAACUCAAAGGAAUUGACGGGGACCCGCACAAGCGGUGGAUGAUGUGGAUAAUUCGAUGCAACGCGAAAAACCUUACCUACCCUUG
rnacentral:rRNA from 1 species